rnacentral:rRNA from 1 species
UACAGAGGGUGCGAGCGUUAAUCGGAAUGACUGGGCGUAAAGGGCGCGUAGGUGGUUAGUUAAGAUUGAUGUGAAAUCCCUGGGCUUAACCUAGGAAUGGCAUCGAUGACUGAUUAGCUGGAGUAUUGUAGAGGGUAGUGGAAUUUCCGGUGUAGCGGUGAAAUGCGUAGAGAUCGGAAGGAACACCAGUGGCGAAGGCGACUACCUGGACAGAUACUGACACUGAGGCGCGAAAGCGUGGGGAGCAAAC